rnacentral:tRNA from 1 species
GGGGUUAUAGCUUCGUGGUAGAGUGCUUGCCUACCAUACAGGGGGGCCUGGGUUCAAUCCCCAGUACUUUA